UAAACCUGCAUGAGGGAAGAGAGAGAAGGAGAGAGAAAAGGAGAGGAGGGAGGAGGAGGAAGGGAAAGAGCCUUUCAACGGGGACAGAAGGGAAAGAGUCUCCGUUUCAAUGGAAUAAAAACUGCGCAAUUUCUUUAAGGACUGCCUGCUCUGAUCGCGGUGGACCAGUCCUCUCUAGGAAAUGGAUAUCAGUUAUGUUUUUGGAUAAUUAGGGAAUCCGUGCCCAUUGCAACCCCCGCUGCCUCGGAGGUUACAGGAGCUGGCGAUUUUUUACCAGAUGGUCUUCAGAGGAGGAAACGAGCCGUGCAAUCAUUUUAGAAAGGCGAUAUGACUGUGCAGAGAUGCAAGAUCAGUGAUGAGUCUAUCCGUCAUGCCUUGCCCAUGGGCGAACGCAUCAACAUUUUCUCAGCCUGGACUGUGAUCUAUCUGCGUGUACAGUGCUCCCCGUGUCGACGUUUGCACCUAAACGCGUUAUGGAUGUUGAAUGGGGUUUCAUGUUUUUUUGGGAGAGGGCUUUUAGGGGGCUGCGUCAUCCGUGGCUGGGAAAGGAGAUGGACUGCUUUGCAGAUUUUCCACUAUUCCACUGUUUUAACAGCGAGAGUCAGCACAGUUACCUCCCCAGAAGAUUUUGGAUUGCACAUAGAAGAGGAAUGAGGAUCAUGGCUAAGUAUUGUGCUAUGUUUGAAGAACCACCAGCACCUGACUGAAGCUGCAAGUGAAAUGUCUGACCCACCAAAGGCAAGAAUGGGCUAACAAUAUAUUCCCAGCCUGUCAAGAUGGACUGCAGCUUAGGAAUGGAAAACACCCAAGCUAUUCCAUAGUGAUGGGGAGCCAUCUGCAAUUGCUGCAAGCCCCCACCUGCCCAGGUAAAGGCAAUAUCUGGCCCACCCUGUUACAGUCAGUACACACCCGGAGUGUGCUCAGCAGUGGCAGGUAAGAGGAACAAGCAUGUCCAUGUGUAUGUGUGUGUGUGCGUGUGUGUAUUUCUACCCUAAUAGAUUAUCGAUGCACUGCUAGGUUGGUUGGCUACACCAGACAGUGGAAAUGGGCCUGGA